AAGUCGUAACAAGGUUUCCGUAGGUGAACCUGCGGAAGGAUCAUUAUUGAAUAUUCUUGAUGGGUUGUAGCUGGCUCUUCGGGGCAUGUGCACGCCUGUCUUGACUUUAUUCAUCCACCUGUGCACCUUUUGUAGUCUUGGGGGUUGAGAGCAGUCAAUAAUCGGAUGACCAUUUGGUCACUCCGGGUGUGAGGAAUGCUGAGUGCGAAAGCAUACAGCUCUUCUCAAAGUGACUUGUAAUCCUCUCCUUCAAGUACUAUGUAUUCAUAUACCCAUAGUAUGUUGUAGAAUGUGAUCAAUGGGCCUAAGUGCCUAUAACAAUCAGAAACAACUUUCAGCAACGGAUCUCUUGGCUCUC
rnacentral:misc_RNA from 1 species